UACGUAGGGUGCAGGCGUUAAUCGGAAUUACUGGGCGUAAAGCGUGCGCAGGCGGUUUGCUAAGACAGGUGUGAAAUCCCCGGGCUUAACCUGGGAACUGCGCUUGUAACUGGCAAGCUAGAGUGUGGCAGAGGGGGGUGGAAUUCCACGUGUAGCAGUGAAAUGCGUAGAGAUGUGGAGGAACACCGAUGGCGAAGGCGGCCUUCUGGUCCAGUACUGACACUCUAGUGCGAAAGCGUGGGGAGCAAACAGG
rnacentral:rRNA from 1 species